CUCGCCAACAGGAGAAUCAUUUCUAUAGUAUUCGACCUCCUCUAGGUUCCCUAAAGGAGCCAUAGAUCCCACCCUGGUUGAUGAUUUAUAUCCUCGACACCCUAGAGUGAAGUACUCUGGUUACUCUCGAUCUCUCCGCAAGGAGGGCGGUCCGCUGUUGCAGUUGACUGUAUAGAGAGUGGUGAUGAUCUCGUCCCCGUCUGCGGUCUUGCCCUAGGGCGCGUGGGCGGGGUGGGUGUCGAUGGACGUCUGACAGGC
rnacentral:snoRNA from 1 species